AUAGUGGGCGCAGGUGAAUUAUGGGAGUUGGAGUGAGGGUCUGAUAGUGGGCGCAGGUGAAUUAUGGGAGUUGUAGUGAGGGCUUAUAAUGGGUGCAGGUGAAUUAUGGGAGUUGGAGUGAGGGUCUGAUAGUGGGUGCAGGUGAAUUAUGGAAGUUGGAGUGAGGGCUGAUAGUGGGUGCAGGUGAAUUAUGGGAGUUGUAGUGAGGUCUGAUAGCGGGUGCAGGUGAAUUAUGGGAGUUGUAGUGAGGUCUUAUAGUGGGUGCAGGUGAAUUAUGGGAGUUGUAGUGAGGUCUGAUAGUGGGUGCAGGUGAAUUAUGGAAGUUGGAGUGAGGGUCUGAUAGUGGGUGCAGGUGAAUUAUGGGAGUUGUAGUGAGGUUUGAUAGUGGGUGCAGGUGAAUUAUGGGAGUUGGAGUGAGGUCCUAUAGUGGGUGCAGGUGAAUUAUGGGAGUUGGAGUGAGGUCUGAUAGUGGGUGCAGGUGAAUUAUGGAAGUUGGAGUGAGGGUCUGAUAGUGGGUGCAGGUGAAUUAUGGGAGUUGUAGUGAGGUUUGAUAGUGGGUGCAGGUGAAUUAUGGGAGUUGGAGUGAGGUCCUAUAGUGGGUGCAGGUGAAUUAUGGGAGUUGGAGUGAGGGUCUGAUAGUGGGUGCAGGUGAAUUAUGGGAGUUGUAGUGAGGUUUGAUAGUGGGUGCAGGUGAAUUAUGGGAGUUGGAGUGAGGUCCUAUAGUGGGUGCAGGUGAAUUAUGGGAGUUGGAGUGAGGGUCUGAUAGUUGGUGCAGGUGAAUUAUGGGAGUUGGAAUAAGGGCUGAUAGUGGGUGAAGGUGAAUUAUGGGAGUUGUAGUGAUGGCUUAUAGUGGGUGCAGGUGAAUUAUGGGAGUUGGAGUGAGGGUCUGAUAGCGGGUGCAGGUGAAUUAUGGGAGUUGGAGUGAUGGUCUGAUAGUGGGUGCAGGUGAAUUAUGGGAGCUGAAGUGAGGGUCUGAUAGUGGGUGCAGGUGAAUUAUGGGAGUUGGAGUGAGGUCCUAUAGUGGGUGCAGGUGAAUUAUGGGAGUUGAAGUGAGGGUCUGAUAGUGGGUGCAGGUGAAUUAUGGGAGUUGGAGUGAGGUCCUAUAGUGGGUGCAGGUGAAUUAUGGGAGUUGGAGUGAGGGUCUGAUAGUUGGUGCAGGUGAAUUAUGGGAGUUGGAGUAAGGGCUGAUAG